AUUCAUAUAUUAUUGUUAUAGAAAUUGAAACAUUCAUACUUGUUUUUGUGCUUUAUUACAAAUGUCUAUUAUCUGAAUUUGCAAAUUACUUGUCUAAAAUUUAAAAAAAAAAUCAAUGUACAUAACUUAUUUCAUCGACACAAAGUUGUCUCAUGCCAAUAAAAUAUCUAUAUAUUUUCCCCGGGCGCUAUUUGUUCUUCCCCGGGCGCUUUUUCUUCACCCGGGCGCUCCCGGGCGCAUUUUAGUAGGACCC
rnacentral:lncRNA from 1 species